UGCUGAAGGAAGAGGAUGACCUCGUGAACAGCUAGGGAACUUUGUGGACAUCUGAAAAACUAGGAGUCCAACAUAAACUAUAUCACCCUAGGUUUUGCUGAUUCUUACCAUUCCAAACAGAUGGACGAUAAGGGAAAUAAACGGAGUUAUUAAACACCUGCAUAUGAGCUUAUGGGUUUAUAAAACGUAUGAGGCAAUUAAAGGGGCGAACUGUGCAACUGAACAAAUGUUUAAAAAUAGCUUCUGACCACUGUUUGGGUAGUCUUCUAUACCUAUAUAUCUUAAACAGAAACCAGAGACAGUUUGUAUGGAAACAGCUGAACAAUUCUCUCAACGCCGCGUUAUUACGAGCGCAUGUUCUGUCACGGGUGCGUGCACAGGUAAAUGCGCUUCCGCGUGAGUGCACGGCGACGCGGAUAGCGUUUCCGACACGACAAGAGACGCAGCGGUGGGCAGCGGUAAUAUAACGAUGAUAAAAUAAUGUGAAGAAGACACAUGAGGAGGAUGGACCGUCAAGGCGGAAUGAUUUGCAGAAACCCCGUCAAAGUAUUCGCCUGCGCCUCUCUAUGUCUCUCAGAGCGCUAAAUACUUUGCACCGAGGGACGAACAGCGUGGACACCAGGGAGGAUUAACACAUGAAGAACCAUGUCUGCCCAAACCACACAUGGACUGGGGAGCUGUGGAAGAGACAAGCGGAGGCUGAGGCUUUACUGGUGUCAUUAAAACAACCAAACCCGGUGUAAUCCAACAUGAGAAAUGUCGACAUAACAACAUGACGGACUGGGCCAGCGGAUGACAUCAUGCACAUCACUGUCCACCCUGGCAGACAAUGAGGCGACUUUAGGUCUGGAAGAUCCCAAGUUAUAGACUGGGGGAAGUCGAUUCAUGUUAGUAUCAUCCUUCUUCGCUUCUGGCGUGAUGCAUCUAUUGUGUUCGUCAAUUUGAAUCAAGUAUGUCUUCAAAGGACUUUUGAACACAAAACAAAAUGUUAAAAGACACAAAAGAUACCAUCACUGAAAAUAAUCGUCAUAUCGCGUUUAAUUUUUACAGAAUUGCAUUAUUUACUGAAUACAUAACGUAUUUGCACUCUAAACAUCUCUUGUUAUAUCAUAUUAUGAAGACCCUGCCAUUUCUGGUACCUAAUAAAGACUUAAAAGAGCAGCCUUGACCUGCUCUUUUAUAUAUAGUCGAGUGGGCUAAACGCCUAAGCCGCUGACGUAAAUGUUGGGGGAAGGACAGAGGAACUGUGUUCGAGUCCUGUGGAUGUGAACUCGGGAGCGGUCAAAAUAUUUUGCCAGCAUCAAUGGAAGCCUACCACUGUCGGUUACACUGUGAGACAGGACAUGAUCAAAUAACCUUCAAGUUCAACUCAAUUUAGAGGUGAUGUAAGACCCUGAGGGGCCAUCCAUUCAGGCCAUGGUCAUGCAAGUUGUUUUGCUGUCAAGAUAUUUUACACUAGCAAAUAUGUCAACAUAGGGGCGAGGUUUAUGAAUAGAUGGACUGCUGAACAUAAGAACAUCAGUGAACGAAAGGUCGCUGAUGCCUCUACCGAAAGGUAGAGGCUUUGAACUGUUGUUUAUGUCAUUGUAACAAUGUCCACGAUACACGCCACCUGCCUUUGCUCACCUCUCUUCUGCCCCUCUUCCUCUCCACCUCUUUCCUUUCCUCUCUCCUCUUUGUCUCCAUCUCUCCACCUCAUAUUAAUGUGGGGAUGGGCUGGGGGUGUGGGGGGGGGGGGGGGGGGUGUGGGGUCAACACUAAUGCCUGGCUCCUUAGAAGUGACAGCUCCUCCUUGCUUAAUAGACCCAACGUGGCGAUAGCAUGGGACGUAAUUGGCAAUGAGAGGGAGGUGGGAGGGCACCAGGCGAGUGCUUUCCUCCGCUGAAGGGACGGCCUUUGGCUUUGUUUCGUUGGGCUCUGCGGCCUUUGGUGGCGUCAGUGGACGGCUGACCGGGCUAACUGUCCGACGUUUGACUUCAUCUCCUCUUCCUUAACUCCUCAUCAUCCCAUUCCCCGGUUCCAUUAUUAUUCUAUGCAUUAUUCAAAAAUCCUUUUAUACUGUUUAUUAAUUGAUGAAACACUCCCAUGCAUAGUGACCGUAGUGAGUUCAGAUCCAGCUCAUUGAGCCGCGGGUAGGGGUUUGGGGGCAUCUUGCUCAAGGACGCUCACAGGACAUUGGGGUUUGAACCAAAAACCUUUCGGCUAGGAAUUGAACUAGCCAAACUAUUUGAAGCGGAACAUGUCUGAUCGUCCUGUGACAACUUCCACAUCCUGUUUGAAUCCUGGAGUCUCUCUCUCUGUAACUGUCUCUCUCCCUGCCUCUAUUGGUUUAUCUGUCUCUUUCGUUCUCUGCUUCUCUCUGUCUUUCCCUCUAUCUCUCUCUCUCUCUCUCUC